AUUGAACGCUGGCGGCAGGCCUAACACAUGCAAGUCGAACGAGUUUCGGACUGUUGAGUAAUUUCUGGGAACCUUCCUGAUGGCGGUGGAUACCUCCUGGCAACGUUCGCUAAUCCCGCCUACCAUCGUCUUUUCCCAUAUGGGUUUCGCUCGUAGGUGGGGUAAAGGCUCACCUAGGCGACGAUCCCUAGCUGUUCUUAGAGGAUGACCAGCCACACUGGAACUGAGACACGGUCCAGACUCCUACGGGAGGCAGCAGUGGGGAAUAUUGCACAAUGGGCGCAAGCCUGAUGCAGCCAUGCCGCGUGUAUGAAGAAGGCCUUCGGGUUGUAAAGUACUUUCAGCGGGGAGGCGUUACGCGCAGAAGAAGCACCGGCUAACUCCGUGCCAGCAGACGCGGUAAUAC
rnacentral:rRNA from 1 species